AGUAACGCUGGGCGGCAUGCCUUACCAUGCAGUCGAACGGCAGCAUGGGUGCUUGCACCUGAUGGCGAGUGGCGAACGGGUGAGUAAUAUAUCGGAACAUGUCCGGAAGUGGGGGAUAACGUAGCGAAAGUUACGCUAAUACCGCAUAUGCCCUGAGGGGGAAAGGAGGGGAUCGUAAGACCUUUCGCUUUCGGAGUGGCCGAUAUCAGAUUAGCUAGUUGGUGAGGUAAAGGCUCACCAAGGCGACGAUCUGUAGCGGGUCUGAGAGGAUGAUCCGCCACACUGGAACUGAGACACGGUCCAGACUCCUACGGGAGGCAGCAGUGGGGAAUUUUGGACAAUGGGCGCAAGCCUGAUCCAGCCACGCCGCGUGAGUGAAGAAGGCCUUCGGGUUGUAAAGCUCUUUCAGCCGGAAAGAAAUCGCACUUGCUAAUACUAAGUGUGGAUGACGGUACCGGAAGAAGAAGCACCGGCUAACUACGUGCCAGCAGCCGCGGUAAGACGUAGGGUGCGAGCGUUAAUCGGAAUUACUGGGCGUAAAGCGUGCGCAGGCGGUUUUUUAAGACAGACGUGAAAUCCCCGGGCUUAACCUGGGAACUGCGUUUGUGACUGGAAGGCUAGAGUAUGGCAGAGGGGGGUAGAAUUCCACGUGUAGCAGUGAAAUGCGUAGAUAUGUGGAGGAAUACCGAUG
rnacentral:rRNA from 1 species